ensembl:lncRNA
GCAUUAAAGUGAUGCAGGACCCAAGGACAAAGGGGAAGCAUGUGGAGGCUACAUGGGACCAAUGAUGAUGGAUACCAGGGUAAAUAGACGUUACCAUGAAGGAUGGAUAUGACAUGUAGCAAGAAUAUGAGGAAAACAACUGAAGACAACAAAAAUGCACAGAUUUCCAGUUCCACAGAAGGUGCAACAGGAAGGAAGGAGCACUAGAGGUGGAAUUCCACCCAGUUUAUCCUGCCACCAUCAGCAGAUGUGUCUCUGGUAAAUAUCGUAUUGUUGGAUUCUGAUUUGUAAUAUGUGCUGCUAUCCUUUUCUGUUCAUGGAUUCAAUUGCACGUCUAGCCAAAGAUGUUGGUAAUCUCUCACUCAGGAUCUGGCAGUUAUCCGGGACGAUGAAAUGUGUUCUCAGCCCUAGGCAAAGGGGUUCAGUGAGAAGAUUUCAUCUUUGCCGGGAGACAUUCUGCCUGGCUUCUCCUGUUGAAUGUAGUUGCGCACAGCCUCUAACAGGCUCCAGAGCUCUCGGUCUCGUCAGAUACAGGACAGCCUUUCUAGUCACAUCACAGUAAUACAGAGUCAAAAUGACGACGAGAUAAAACCCCAAGCUGAUGCCAGGGAAUGAAUUCUGCCAAGGCUCACAAAGUAGCACCGCUCAGGAGCCCAGAAGAGAGCAGAGCAGUGUGUGAGAGCAAGACAGAGACCUUCCCAGACACCAAGUCGGAGAGAGGGAUAAAGAGACUUGGGGACAGACAGAACGUCAGAGACACACUAUUCAGAGUGGGAGGGCAGAGGUAGACAGGCAACAUCUAGCAAGAAACAAAAAACAACCAAGAGCAGCAUCAAGCAGGGAACAACUUUAGACAUAGCAAGUAAUGGCGCAUCAGAAGAUGCUGAGGACUGAGGCAUUCGGGACAUGACUUGCCCUUCACUGGGUGUCACAUUUCUGCUGGAUUUGUCUCCUCUCUGGUUAUCUCAUUGUCACUAUCAGAUGCUGCCCCUCUAUACCAGAUUCAGUGUUUUAUCUCAGCAGGUCUACUUGAUGGCUUCUAAUCUCCUGAAGACUAGCAUCUAGUGACUUGAAAGACUUUCCCUAAUGAGACCCAGUGUAUAAUUUUAGCCAUAGUCAGAGGGUAUAAAUGACACUCCUCGGUGUAAGAAAAGCCAGAAAGGGUAAGUUCAAUAUCUUUACUAUUUAGUGUUUUUUUUAAUCCAUAUUAUGAACAGAUAAUAUAAAAGGUAAGUUAGAAAGAUAUGACUCCUAAAUGGGUAGUUCUAAGAAAAUAAAGAGAAAGAGAACAAGUUAAGAGCCUAUGUC